CCUACACUCUUUGACACUCAGCAGCUCACAAUAUGAUGGAGUAUAAGGAGGGAAGAUUUUGCAAGCCUGUAAGAUGUCUGCUUUCAUUUAGAAGAGGAGAAGUAGAAAAGUAAGGAGGAAGCAGAGAGAAGAAGCUGGAGAGAGGAAGUCCACUGGGCAUUUCCUGUGUGUAAUUCAGUCUGUCUCUCAGGAAACAGGAGCUGAUUCUGCUCUCAAUAAACCUAUGGUGAAAAUCUCAGCAGAGUCAGGAGCUGCACACUGGGCCCCAGACAACAAGAUUAGAACUGAAAUGAUGUUAGCACUUAACACCAGAUCCAAAGCCCACUGAGGUGAAGAAGAGACUUCCCAUUUUCCAGCUCUGAAGAUAAAUCUACCUCAAAAUAAAUACAUUACUAGGAUUCCUCUAGUGAUAGCUAAAGCUUUAGCAAAAGAAAUAACAAGCCACUGUAGCAGAAGCAAACAUAAAAGGAGGCAAAGGAAAAGGUCCUCUGUGUUAGCAGAUAGAU